rnacentral:rRNA from 1 species
GACGAACGCUGGCGGCGUGCCUAAUACAUGCAAGUCGAGCGAACCAAUAGGAGCUUGCUCCUGUUGGUUAGCGGCGGACGGGUGAGUAACACGUGGGCAACCUGCCUGUAAGACUGGGAUAACACCGGGAAACCGGUGCUAAUACCGGAUAAUCUUUCUCCUCUCAUGAGGAAAAACUGAAAGUCGGUUUCGGCUGACACUUACAGAUUGGCCCGCGGCGCAUUAGCUAGUUGGUGAGGUAACGGCUCACCAAGGCGACGAUGCGUAGCCGACCUGAGAGGGUGAUCGGCCACACUGGGACUGAGACACGGCCCAGACUCCUACGGGAGGCAGCAGUAGGGAAUCUUCCACAAUGGACGAAAGUCUGAUGGAGCAACGCCGCGUGAGCGAUGAAGGCCUUCGGGUCGUAAAGCUCUGUUGUUAGGGAAGAACAAGUACCGGAGUAACUGCCGGUGCCUUGACGGUACCUAACCGGAAAGCCACGGCUAACUACGUGCCAGCCGCCGCGGUAA